GUUGAUCCUGCGGGAGGACACCGCUAGUGGGAUACGAUUAAGACAUGCAAGUCAUCUUCGCAAGAAGAGGCGUAAGGCUGCGUAACACGUCGAGAACCUAACCUACAGAGGGGCAUAACCUCGCGAAAGUGAGGCUAAUUCCACAUAGGAAACAGAACUUGGAAAAGCCUGUUUCCCAAAUCCUUCGGGGCUGUAGGAUGGCUCGGCGGUGGAUUAGGCUGUUGGUGAUGUAAUGGCUCACCAAACCUGAGAUCCAUAGGGGCCUUGAGAGAGGAAGCCCCCAGAGGCACACUGAGAAAAGGGUGCCAGCCCUACGGGGUGCAGCAGUCGCGAAACCUUCGCAAUGCGCGCAAGCGUGACGAGGGAAUCCCACGUGCCAGCGUUUUACGUUGGCUUUUGUCGUCUGUUAAAAGGACGGCGAAUAAGUGAGUGGGUAAGACUGGUGCCAGCCGCCGCGGUAAUCCCAGCGCCACAAGUGGUGUUCGCUAUUAUUGAGUCUAAAGCAUCCGUAGCCGGCUUGCUAAGUUCUCUGUGAAAUCCGGCAGCUUAACUGUCGGGCGUGCAGAGAAUACUAGCAAGCUAGAGAGCGGGAGAAGUGGACGGUAUGCCUGAGGGAGCGGUAAAAUGUUUUAAUCUCAGGUGGACCACCAACGGCGAAGGCAGUCCACUAGAACGCGUCUGACGGUGAGGGAUGAAAGCUGGGGGAGCAAAAGGGAUUAGAUACCCCUGUAGUCCCAGCUGUAAACGCUGCCUGUUAGAUGCUGCGGCUCUUUUAAGGAAUCGCAGUGUCGUAGCGAAGGCGUUAAACAGGCCACUUGGGGAGUACAGCCGCAAGACUGAAACUUAAAGGAAUAGGCGGGAGAGCACACAAGGGGUGAAUGCUGCGGCUCAAUUGGAUUCAACGCCCAGAACCUCACCAGCAGCGACAGCAGAAUGAAGGUCCUCCUGAAUGGGGCACUCGACACGCUGAGAGGUAGUGCAUGGCCGUCGUAAGCUCGUGCCGUGAGGUGUUCAGUUAAGUCUGAGAACGAGCGAGACCUGCGCUUUUAAUUGCCACUCUUUUCUUGCGAAAGUGAGAAGGGAAGCACAAUAAAAGGACUGCUGGCGCAAGCCAGAGGAAGGUGCAGGCGACGAUAGGUCUGUAUGCUCCGAAUCUGCUGGGCUGCACGCGGCAUGCAUUGGUUGAGAGAACGGGCUGCAACUCCGAAAGGAGAAGCUAAUCCCUUAAACUCAUCCUUGUUCGAAUCGAGGACUGCAACUCGUCCUCGUGAAGGCGAAAUCCCUAGUACACGUGUUUUAGCAUAGCAUGUGGAAUACGUCCCUGCUCUUUGCACUCACUGCCUGUCAACUCAACCGAAUCGGGUUUAGGUGAAGUCUAUGCUGAAUAGUUUGAACCUAGGCUCGGUAAGGCGGGGUAAGUCAACACAAGGUA
rnacentral:rRNA from 1 species